rnacentral:rRNA from 1 species
UCCUAUGAGGACGAAGUGACUGACACCACGCUUCCAGGAAAAGCCACUAAGCUUCAGCUUAAGAAAAACCGUACCGCAAACCGACACAGGUAGGCAGGGUGAGAAUCCCAAGGCGCUUGAGAGAACUCGGGUGAAGGAACUAGGCAAAAUGGCACCGUAACUUCGGGAGAAGGUGCGCCCUUUGGUGUGGUCACGUGCGUGACUGAGCAUCGAGGGGUCGCAGUAACCUGGCCGCUGCGACUGUUUAUCAAAAACACAGCACUCUGCAAACACGAAAGUGGACGUAUAGGGUGUGACGCCUGCCCGGUGCUGGAAGGUUAAUUGAUGGGGUCAGCCGCAAGGCGAAGCUCUUGAUCGAAGCCCCAGUAAACGGCGGCCGUAACAAUAACGGUCCUAAGGUAGCGAAAUUCCUUGUCGGGUAAGUUCCGACCUGCACGAAUGGCGUAACGACAGCGGCGCUGUCUCCACCCGAGACUCAGUGAAAUUGAAAUCGCUGUGAAGAUGCAGCGUUCCCGCGGCAAGACGGAAAGACCCCGUGAACCUUUACUAUAGCUUUACACUGAACGUUGAGUUCUUCUGUGUAGGAUAGAUGGGAGGCUAUGUAACCAGGACGCUAGUUCUGGUGGAGCCAUCCUUGAAAUACCACCCUGAAGUGCUUGACGUUCUAACCUAGGCCCGUAAUCCGGGUCAGGGACCGUGUAUGGUGGGUAGUUUGACUGGGGCGGUCUCCUCCCAAAGAGUAACGGAGGAGCACGAAGGUACGCUCAGCGCGGUCGGACAUCGCGCACUGUGUGCAAAGGCAUAAGCGUGCUUGACUGCGAGAUCGACGGAUCAAGCAGGUACGAAAGUAGGUCUUAGUGAUCCGGUGGUUCUGUAUGGAAGGGCCAUCGCUCAACGGAUAAAAGGUACUCCGGGGAUAACAGGCUGAUACCGCCCAAGAGUUCGUAUCGACGGCGGUGUUUGGCACCUCGAUGUCGGCUCAUCACAUCCUGGGGCUGUAGCCGGUCCCAAGGGUAUGGCUGUUCGCCAUUUAAAGUGGUACGCGAGCUGGGUUCAGAACGUCGUGAGACAGUUCGGUCCCUAUCUGUCGUGGGCGUUGGAGAUUUGAGGGGGGCUGCUCCUAGUACGAGAGGACCGGAGUGGACGUUCCGCUGGUGUUCGGGUUGUCAUGCCCAUGGCAUUGCCCGGUAGCUACGAACGGAAGUGAUAACCGCUGAAAGCAUCUAAGCGAGAAGCACGCCCCAAGAUGAGAUCUCCCGAGAGCUUGACUCUCCUAAAGGCACCAUCAAGACUAGGUGGUUGAUAGGUCAGGUGUGGAAGCGCAGCAAUGCGUUGAGCUAACUGAUACUAAUGAGCCGUGAGGCUUGACCU